AUUGAACGCUGGCGGCAGGCUUAACACAUGCAAGUCGAGCGGGGGAAGGUAGCUUGCUACCGGACCUAGCGGCGGACGGGUGAGUAAUGCUUAGGAAUCUGCCUAUUAGUGGGGGACAACAUCUCGAAAGGGAUGCUAAUACCGCAUACGUCCUACGGGGGAAAGCAGGGGAUCUUCGGACCUUGCGCUAAUAGAUGAGCCUAAGUCGGAUUAGCUAGUUGGUGGGGUAAAGGCCUACCAAGGCGACGAUCUGUAGCGGGUCUGAGGGGAUGAUCCGCCACACUGGGACUGAGACACGGCCCAGACUCCUACGGGAGGCAGCAGUGGGGAAUAUUGGACAAUGGGGGGAACCCUGAUCCAGCCAUGCCACGUGUGUGAAGAAGGCCUUAUGGUUGUAAAGCACUUUAAGCGAGGAGGAGGCUACUCUAGUUAAUACCUAGGGAUAGUGGACGUUACUCGCAGAAUAAGCACCGGCUAACUCUGUGCCAGCCGCCGCCGUAA
rnacentral:rRNA from 1 species